rnacentral:tRNA from 1 species
GCCGCCAUGGUGGAACUGGUAGACACAAGGGACUUAAAAUCCCUCGCUAGAAAUAGUGUGCGGGUUCGAUUCCCGCUGGCGGCA